CCCUUAGAUGUUCUGGGCCGCACGCGCGCUACACUGAUGCAUUCAACGAGCCUAUCCUUGACCGACAGGUCCGGGUAAUCUUUGAAUCUGCAUCGCGACGGGGAUAGAUUAUUGCAAUUAUUAAUCUUCAACGAGGAAUGCCUAGUAGGCGCAAGUCAUCAGCUUGCGUCGAUUACGUCCCUGCCCUUUGUACACACCGCCCGUCGCUCCUACCGAUUGGGUGUGCUGGUGAAAUGUUCGGAUCGGCCGUUUGUCGCGGUUUCCGCGUCAUGUGGCUGAGAAGUUCAUUAAACCCUCCCACCGAGAGGAAGGAGAAGUCGUAACA
rnacentral:rRNA from 1 species